UCAUAGAAUGGGCGAGGCAAACAGAGCUCUUGCAUAUUUUUGUUAAUCCAUGAACAGAAUCUAGGUAUGUAGACACAUGGAUCCAUACAUCUCAAUCAGAAAAGAAUCAAUAGAGGAGAAUCGGACGAUAUCUUUCUCGAAACAAACAAAAAGGAAAAGAAAGAGAACAAAAAUCAUGAUC
rnacentral:sRNA from 1 species